AAAAGACUAAUAAAAACGAGUAAAAUCAUUCUUUUCCAACCCAUUUACUCUAUUUCAUGGUGACAGGUGGCUGGAGCCUAUCCCUGCAGCUCAGGGCACAAAGCAGGACCCAACCCUUCCUGGAAGGGCCACUCACACUCACACCCACACCCACACUCCACCCACAUCCACACUCAGCCUGGGACAAUGUAGACACACCAGCUCAACUCACGUGCACAUCUUUGGGAUGGGGCUUAGAAACCAGAGAAAAUCCACACAGACUUGGGGAGAAGGUGCAAACUCCACGCAGGCAGUGGCCUGGCGGAGAAUCACAUUUUUCUCAUCAAUGUUAUAAUGAAACGAUGUAGAAGGAAACGUUAGUCAAGGUCCAGCUGAACUACAUCAGUGCCAGGCAUUCAUAGGAAACACCCUUUGAGCACCUAAGAUGAGGCCAAAUAAAACCUGGUCCCUGACUUCCUGGACACUAGCCGUCGAGUGAGAGAGACAGCCAAGCAAAUCAAUGACUUCCAUACAAAGUGACAAGUGCCAGCUGGAGGCAGGCACCUGGUGCCAGUGGAAGGCAGGCACGUCUCGGAGGGACUGACUUCUAAGCUGUCAGCAGCAACAGCUCUGACUCCGACUCCAAUUCCCAGCACUCAGAACAAUGAGACAUAGAAAGGAGGUCUUCCUCCAUCCAAGGACACUUGUGGAGCCAAGCCCAUUAUAGGCUGCCUGCCACGACCAGCGAGGGCGGCCAGAGGAAGGCGCGGAGCCCAGGGCUCUCCCAGGGGGCGAGGCCACACUCCUCUACCAGCUCCCCAAGGCGACUCCUCCACAGGGCACACCAAGCACCGCAAGUCUCCCACCUUCCCGGUGGCGAUGGAACACAUCCUGUGGGAUCCACUCCCCACCCGGGCCCCACAGGAGAUCUACACACAGGAAAGCUGGUCAUGCGGUCAUAGCUGGUCUUAAUAGCCAUCUUCUCCCUCUACCUAUUCCACAUUCCUUUUGCCCUCAGCAAGGACCUCAGCUGGUUGUGGAUUCCUGAAGAACCUGGCCACUAGCUGUCCUGAAUUGGGUUGUCACAGCUUUUGAUUACCUCACAGAACGUGGGAGCACUAGAGAUGCCCUAAGGGAUCUCCUGUUUCCAGACACACUCUUUCUGACAUCCGCUGUGUGGGAGCAGCCCGACUUUCCCUUGGUAGUCAGGUCAGUCACUCUGCCAGCAGCUCCAGGAUGAUGGCGAGUGUGGUGAGACCAGUGAAUUCCAUGAGCAUGGCCUAUCAACUUCCUUGACCAGAAGUGAUGUCUGUGUGAAAUACCAUUACAGUGGAUAAGGUAUCCCAUAAGUCCAUGGAUGACAGUUUUGGCAGAAGCACUGCAUAUAGAAAAGAUCCAAGACACAAAAUAUUUGAGAAAUGCCAAUCAAGGAAAAUUACCACAUUUCCCAGUAAGUUGGGCAUUUCGAUGCAAGAGUCAACAACUGUUUAUCAACACAAGCCAUUGCAUGUGUGGCAGUCGCUUUGGCUUAAUGAAGAUGAGAAAGCACUGCAUGCAAAAACAAGCUGAGAGCUGCCAAAGCCAUUAACUAAGCUCCCAGACACUGCCAAAGCCAGAGCCAAUGUUCGUGCUGCUGAAGUCUCUAUUUUGGCUUUGAUCAUUUGGCUUCUCAAGUACGGAAACUCUAUCUUCAGAGAGCAACAAAAUCUUCCAUUUCCUAAUGGAAGAAGGAAGAAAGCGCUAUUAAACUCAAGACAUUGUGGCUGAUGAGCUUGGUGUUGAAGUAUAACUUAAAAACUCAUAAUUUGUGGCAUAACCUUAAAAAAGGAUUAUGCUUUACCUUUUGUAUAUACUCUACUUUCAAUAAAA